rnacentral:rRNA from 1 species
AACGAACGCUGGCGGCAGGCUUAACACAUGCAAGUCGAGCGCCCCGCAAGGGGAGCGGCAGACGGGUGAGUAACGCGUGGGAAUCUACCCAUCUCUACGGAAUAACGCAUGGAAACGUGUGCUAACACCGUAUACGUCCUUCGGGAGAAAGAUUUAUCGGAGAUGGAUGAGCCCGCGUUGGAUUAGCUAGUUGGUGGGGUAAAGGCCUACCAAGGCGACGAUCCAUAGCUGGUCUGAGAGGAUGAUCAGCCACACUGGGACUGAGACACGGCCCAGACUCCUACGGGAGGCAGCAGUGGGGAAUAUUGGACAAUGGGCGCAAGCCUGAUCCAGCCAUGCCGCGUGAGUGAUGAAGGCCCUAGGGUUGUAAAGCUCUUUCACCAGUGAAGAUAAUGACGGUAACCGGAGAAGAAGCCCCGGCUAACUUCGUGCCAGCCGCCGCAGUAACAC